GACGAACGCUGGCGGCGUGCUUAACACAUGCAAGUCGAACGAAGAGCGAUGGAAGCUUGCUUCUAUCAAUCUUAGUGGCGAACGGGUGAGUAACGCGUAAUCAACCUGCCCUUCAGAGGGGGACAACAGUUGGAAACGACUGCUAAUACCGCAUACGAUCUAAUCUCGGCAUCGAGGAUAGAUGUAAGGUGGCCUCUACAUGUAAGCUAUCACUGAAGGAGGGGAUUGCGUCUGAUUAGCUAGUUGGAGGGGUAACGGCCCGCCAAGGCGAUGAUCAGUAGCCGGUCUGAGAGGAUGAACGGCCACAUUGGGACUGAGACACGGCCCAGACUCCUACGGGAGGCAGCAGUGGGGAAUCUUCCGCAAUGGACGAAAGUCUGACGGAGCAACGCCGCGUGAGUGAUGACGGCCUUCGGGUUGUAAAGCUCUGUUAAUCGGGACGAAAGGCCUUCUUGCGAAUAGUGAGAAGGAUUGACGGUACCGGAAUAGAAAGCCACGGCUAACUACGUG
rnacentral:rRNA from 1 species